GACGAACGCUGGCGGCGUGCUUAACACAUGCAAGUCGAACGGGCUGCCUGGUUUUCGGAUCGGGUGGCGAGUGGCGAACGGGUGAGUAACACGUGAGUAACCUGCCCCUCUCUUUGGGAUAACGUCGGGAAAUCGGCGCUAAUACCGGGUAUUCUGGCUUCCUCGCAUGGGGUUGUUGGGAAAGGUUUUUUCUGGUGGGGGAUGGGCUCGCGGCCUAUCAGCUUGUUGGUGGGGUGAUGGCCUACCAAGGCGGUGACGGGUAGCCGGCCUGAGAGGGUGUCCGGGCACACUGGGACUGAGACACGGCCCAGACUCCUACGGGAGGCAGCAGUGGGGAAUAUUGCACAAGGGGCGGAAGCCUGAUGCAGCGACGCCGCGUGGGGGAUGACGGCCUUCGGGUUGUAAACCUCUUUCAGUGCAGAACAAGGCUCUUUGUGGGUUGAGGGUAUGCGCAGAAGAAGCGCCGGCUAACUACGUG
rnacentral:rRNA from 1 species